UACUAGAGUAGCACUCGCAUAUCAAUAAGCGGAGGAAAAGAAACUAACAAGGAUUCCCCUAGUAACGGCGAGUGAAGCGGGAAGAGCUCAAAUUUGAAAUCUUAAAGGGUUUCCCUUUACGAAUUGUAGUUUAAAGAAGUGUUUUCUGUUGAGGUUUUGGUAAAAGUUCUUUGGAAUAGGACAUCAUAGAGGGUGAGAAUCCCGUAUUUGACCUUUACUUUCAACUUUGUGAUACACUUUCAAAGAGUCGGAUUGUUUGGGAAUGCAGUCCAAAAUGGGUGGUAAAUUUCAUCUAAAGCUAAAUAUUGGCGAGAGACCGAUAGCGAACAAGUACCGUGAGGGAAAGAUGAAAAGAACUUUGAAAAGAGAGUUAAACAGUACGUGAAAUUGUCAAAAGGGAAGCGUUUGACACCAGUGUCGUUUUUCUGAAAAUCAAUUAAAGAACUGUUUAUGCUAAGUUGUUUAGACUUUAUCAGCUAACUGUUUAGUUUUGAGCUUUUCUUUAAUGCACUUUUCAGUUAACAAGUCAACAUCAAUUUCUUUUGCUGUAAAAAAGCUUGAGGAAGGUGGCUUGAGAUUCGUCUUAAGUGUUUAUAGCCUCUUGCCUAUGCAGUCGGAGAGAUUGAGGUCUGCAGCGUAGAUCCUUCGGGGCUAAAUGCAUUUGUGCUAAGUUAUAGCAUUUUAUAGACAACUUGUUGACUAUGAUUUGUCUUGUAGCUUACUCGCUUAUGUUAUUUUACCUACGCUUAGGAUGUUGAGCGCAUGUCUCUCUCU
rnacentral:rRNA from 1 species